GAUGAACGCUGGCGGCGUGCCUAAUACAUGCAAGUCGAGCGAACAGACGAGGAGCUUGCUCCUCUGACGUUAGCGGCGGACGGGUGAGUAACACGUGGAUAACCUACCUAUAAGACUGGGAUAACUUCGGGAAACCGGAGCUAAUACCGGAUAAUAUAUUGAACCGCAUGGUUCAAUAGUGAAAGCCGGUUUUGCUGUCACUUGUAGAUGGAUCCGCGCCGCAUUAGCUAGUUGGUAAGGUAACGGCUUACCAAGGCAACGAUGCGUAGCCGACCUGAGAGGGUGAUCGGCCACACUGGAACUGAGACACGGUCCAGACUCCUACGGGAGGCAGCAGUAGGGAAUCUUCCGCAAUGGGCGAAAGCCUGACGGAGCAACGCCGCGUGAGUGAUGAAGGUCUUCGGAUCGUAAAACUCUGUUAUUAGGGAAGAACAAAUGUGUAAGUAACUAUGCACGUCUUGACGGUACCUAAUCAGAAAGCCACGGCUAACUACGUG
rnacentral:rRNA from 1 species